CUUUUUUUUAUUAUUGAACUUAGUUCAAAAGGUUUGACCUCAUUAAUCAUUACCCAGACCAAUUGCUUUUCUGUAUUUUAUAUUUUAGGUUUAUGUUUUUAGACCCAAACUUGGGGUUCUUCAGCCCCCCCUUUUUUUCUGUAUUCUCCUUUACUUCCUCUCAAUUCAAAUUAUGGCCAUGUCUUUCUUAGCUAGCUGAAGAAUUAUUAUCUUUCGUGCGUCUGUUUUCCAGACUUAUGUAUGAGCAUUCAUUUACUAAUUCAUUCAGUCAUUCAUUAACUCAUUCACUCAAUAGCUAUUACCGAAUACCUUCUAUUGGCCGGACACUGGGACAGGAUUAACGUAGAUAUGGUCUUUGCCCUCAAGAACCUCGUAUGCCACUGCAGGGGACAGAUCUGUAAGUCAUAAUAAGACAAUGACAGAAAUUCUAAAUGGAAUGUAUGUGUUGGUACUAACAACACAGAGAGAAAACUGUACCCAACUCUUUGAAGACAUGUCAGCAUGUGCCUUGCUGAAACAGGUGACAUUUAAGUCAAAUCUCGAAAAAGGAGCACGCUGAGGUUUAUUUCAUGACACCAGACUGCCUCUCAAGUGAGAAUAGAAAAAAAAAUAUCCAUCUGAUUCUGAAACUGUAAAGAUACUGAUGACCUUCGCAAGCGAGGUGGAGUGGAGCCAAGUGGGAGAGCUGAAUAGCUGUAAAGCUCUCCUGGUUCUCAGACUUUUAGAAUUGGAAUGGAAUCUACACAACCAGGUCUCUGGCGUUCAGGCCUUCAAACCAUUUGACUGGCUUUCCUGGGCCUCCAGCUUGCAGACAGCAGAUCAUGGGACUUCUCAGUCUCCAUAAUUGCAUGAGUCAGUAUGUUACAAAAAUCUCUUUUU